rnacentral:rRNA from 1 species
AUUGGGGGCGGCCUAACACAUGCAAGUCGAGCGGUAGCACAGAGAGCUUGCUCUCGGGUGACGAGCGGCGGACGGGUGAGUAAUGUCUGGGAAACUGCCUGAUGGAGGGGGAUAACUACUGGAAACGGUAGCUAAUACCGCAUAACGUCGCAAGACCAAAGUGGGGGACCUUCGGGCCUCAUGCCAUCAGAUGUGCCCAGAUGGGAUUAGCUAGUAGGUGGGGUAACGGCUCACCUAGGCGACGAUCCCUAGCUGGUCUGAGAGGAUGACCAGCCACACUGGAACUGAGACACGGUCCAGACUCCUACGGGAGGCAGCAGUGGGGAAUAUUGCACAAUGGGCGCAAGCCUGAUGCAGCCAUGCCGCGUGUGUGAAGAAGGCCUUCGGGUUGUAAAGCACUUUCAGCGGGGAGGAAGGCGGUGAGGUUAAUAACCUCAUCGAUUGACGUUACCCGCAGAAGAAGCACCGGCUAACUCCGUGCCAGCAGCCGCGGUAAUACGGAGGGUGCAAGCGUUAAUCGGAAUUACUGGGCGUAAAGCGCACGCAGGCGGUCUGUCAAGUCGGAUGUGAAAUCCCCGGGCUCAACCUGGGAACUGCAUUCGAAACUGGCAGGCUAGAGUCUUGUAGAGGGGGGUAGAAUUCCAGGUGUAGCGGUGAAAUGCGUAGAGAUCUGGAGGAAUACCGGUGGCGAAGGCGGCCCCCUGGACAAAGACUGACGCUCAGGUGCGAAAGCGUGGGGAGCAAACAGGAUUAGAUACCCUGGUAGUCCACGCUGUAAACGAUGUCGAUUUGGAGGUUGUGCCCUUGAGGCGUGGCUUCCGGAGCUAACGCGUUAAAUCGACCGCCUGGGGAGUACGGCCGCAAGGUUAAAACUCAAAUGAAUUGACGGGGGCCCGCACAAGCGGUGGAGCAUGUGGUUUAAUUCGAUGCAACGCGAAGAACCUUACCUGGUCUUGACAUCCACAGAACUUUCCAGAGAUGGAUUGGUGCCUUCGGGAACUGUGAGACAGGUGCUGCAUGGCUGUCGUCAGCUCGUGUUGUGAAAUGUUGGGUUAAGUCCCGCAACGAGCGCAACCCUUAUCCUUUGUUGCCAGCGGUCCGGCCGGGAACUCAAAGGAGACUGCCAGUGAUAAACUGGAGGAAGGUGGGGAUGACGUCAAGUCAUCAUGGCCCUUACGACCAGGGCUACACACGUGCUACAAUGGCAUAUACAAAGAGAAGCGACCUCGCGAGAGCAAGCGGACCUCAUAAAGUAUGUCGUAGUCCGGAUUGGAGUCUGCAACUCGACUCCAUGAAGUCGGAAUCGCUAGUAAUCGUAGAUCAGAAUGCUACGGUGAAUACGUUCCCGGGCCUUGUACACACCGCCCGUCACACCAUGGGAGUGGGUUGCAAAAGAAGUAGGUAGCUUAACCUUCGGGAGGGCGCUUACCACUUUGGAUUCAAGGGG